UACGAGGGGUCCUAGCGUUGUUCGGAAUUACUGGGCGUAAAGCGCAUGUAGGUGGCUUGGCAAGUCAUAUGUGAAAGCCUCGGGCUCAACCCGAGAAGUGCAUCUGAUACUGCUUAGCUUGAGUAUGGGAGAGGGUAGUAGAAUUCCUGGUGUAGUGGUGAAAUACGUAGAUAUCAGGAGGAAUACCGGUGGCGAAGGCGGCUACCUGGCCCAAUACUGACACUGAGAUGCGAAAGCGUGGGGAUCAAACAGG
rnacentral:rRNA from 1 species